rnacentral:tRNA from 1 species
ACUUAUAUAGUUUAAAUAAAACAUUUCAUUUUCAAUGAAAAGUUAGAAAUCUCUUGUAAGUU